GUGUAAGUCAAGGAGCACUGUGCCAAAAUUGGAACAAUAUAAAGAAGAUUAGCAUGGCCCCUGGACAAGGAUGACACAUAAAUUUGUAAAGCAUUCUAUAUGUUU
ensembl:snRNA U6 U6 spliceosomal RNA